GGCAAGAUAGUUUAAGUUGGAGAAUGCCUAUUUUACACGUAGGGGGUGAGUUUUAUUCUGUUGCUA
rnacentral:tRNA from 1 species